rnacentral:lncRNA from 1 species
ACAAUAUUGUGGUUUUAACCAUGGAUAACUAAUAACGACAAACAAUUUAAUUAGUGGAAAUAAUUCAUUGAUUGACAUACACUUUGUCUACAAAACGAGCAUUAAUGACAAAUAGCUUAUAAGAAAGUUUUAUCAAUAGAUCGUUUUGUCCCCAUAGAUAGAUCAUACUCGACAGUUGUCCGAUGGUACUUCUUCCUCAUAUAGUGAGAAAGGAAAAAAAACUAUCUAAAUAUGUUGAAGUUGAGAAAUGUUUAACUUAUAUUAAUGUCAUCUGAGCUAUAUGUUGAACAUUGAUAACAAAGAUGCCAGUGGUAAUAUGUGAGAGGUAGAAUUUCAGAAGACAUAACAUGGAUUUCUGCUGGAACCUCUCAUGCCCAUGUCAC